CGAAAUAUUAAAUAACAAAAUAGCAAAAUGUGCGAUCGCAUAAACGUAAUUAAUCAAUUGCGGACAAUAAUGUCAGCUAUACAGGGCGGUGGAUGCCCGGCGCCGUGUGGGCGGCCGCCAUGUUGCUCGCCGUGCUGCGGCGGCGGCGGCUCCCUCGUCACAGUAUACAGUCAAGUAGCACAUAUCCAGUGACGAGCUGCGACAGCGCUCGUUCUUCGAUUUAAAAUGCCGUGCUUGCAGUCGGCCAGCCCCCGCGCCCCGUAGCAGCCUUCGACAAGGCCACCAUAGCUAUUGGGUGUCGCCGUCGCCCGCCC
rnacentral:lncRNA from 1 species